rnacentral:rRNA from 1 species
UACGAAGGGGGCUAGCGUUGUUCGGAAUUACUCGGCGUAAAGCGAACGUAGGCGGUGUUCCAUGUCAGAGGUGAAAGCCUGGGGCUCAACUCCAGAAUUGCCUUUGAAACGGGAACGCUUGAGUCCGAGAGAGGGUGGCGGAAUUCCUAGUGUAGAGGUGAAAUUCGUAGAUAUUAGGAAGAACACCAGUGGCGAAGGCGGCCACCUGGCUCGGUACUGACGCUCAGGUUCGAAAGCGUGGGGAGCAAACAGG